UACGAGGGGGGCGAGCGUUGUUCGGAAUUAUUGGGCGUAAAGGGCGCGUAGGCGGUCGGAUAAGUCUUGUGUGAAAUCUUCGGGCUCAACUCGAAGUCUGCACAGGAAACUAUCUGGCUUGAGUGUGGGAGAGGUGAGUGGAAUUCCUGGUGUAGCGGUGAAAUGCGUAGAUAUCAGGAGGAACACCUGUGGCGAAAGCGGUUCACUGGACCACAACUGACGCUGAGGCGCGAAAGCUAGGGGAGCAAACAGG
rnacentral:rRNA from 1 species